UACGUAGGGGGCUAGCGUUGUCCGGAAUUACUGGGCGUAAAGGGCUCGUAGGCGGCCAACUAAGUCAGACGUGAAAUCCCUCGGCUUAACCGGGGAACUGCGUCUGAUACUGGAUGGCUUGAAUCCGGGAGAGGGAUGCGGAAUUCCAGGUGUAGCGGUGAAAUGCGUAGAUAUCUGGAGGAACACCGGUGGCGAAGGCGGCAUCCUGGACCGGCAUUGACGCUGAGGAGCGAAAGCCAGGGGAGCAAACGGG
rnacentral:rRNA from 1 species